rnacentral:rRNA from 1 species
AGUAACACGUAAACAACCUGCCUUCAGGAUGGGGACAACAGACGGAAACGACUGCUAAUACCGAAUAAGUUCCAAGAGCCGCAUGGCCCAUGGAAGAAAAGGUGGCCUCUACCUGUAAGCUAUCGCCUGAAGAGGGGUUUGCGUCUGAUUAGCUGGUUGGAGGGGUAACGGCCCACCAAGGCGACGAUCAGUAGCCGGUCUGAGAGGAUGAACGGCCACACUGGAACUGAGACACGGCCCAAACUCCUACGGGAGGCAGCAUG